rnacentral:rRNA from 1 species
GAGUUUGAUCAUGGCUCAGGACGAACGCUGGCGGCGUGCUUAACACAUGCAAGUCGAACGGUGAACCAGGGCUUGCCCUGGGAAUCAGUGGCGAACGGGUGAGUAACACGUGAGCAACCUGCCCCUGGCUCUGGGAUAACUCCGGGAAACCGGAGCUAAUACCGGAUACGAGACCGAUUGGCAUCAUUACGGUCUGGAAAGUUUUUCGGCCAGGGAUGGGCUCGCGGCCUAUCAGCUUGUUGGUGGGGUAACGGCCCACCAAGGCGACGACGGGUAGCCGGCCUGAGAGGGCGACCGGCCACACUGGGACUGAGACACGGCCCAGACUCCUACGGGAGGCAGCAGUGGGGAAUAUUGCGCAAUGGGCGAAAGCCUGACGCAGCGACGCCGCGUGAGGGAUGAAGGCCUUCGGGUUGUAAACCUCUUUCAGCAGGGAAGAAGCGAAAGUGACGGUACCUGCAGAAGAAGCACCGGCUAACUACGUGCCAGCAGCCGCGGUAAUACGUAGGGUGCAAGCGUUGUCCGGAAUUAUUGGGCGUAAAGAGCUCGUAGGCGGUCUGUCACGUCGGAUGUGAAAAUCCAGGGCUUAACCCUGGACCUGCAUUCGAUACGGGCAGACUAGAGUUCGGUAGGGGAGACUGGAAUUCCUGGUGUAGCGGUGAAAUGCGCAGAUAUCAGGAGGAACACCGGUGGCGAAG